rnacentral:rRNA from 1 species
GAUGAACGCUGGCGGCGUGCUUAACACAUGCAAGUCGAACGAAUUGUUUAUUCAAAGUUCUUCGGGAUAGAGAAUAAAUUACUUAUUGGCGGACGGGUGAUUAACGCGUGGGUAACCUGCCUCACACAGGGGGAUAACAGUUGGAAACGACUGCUAAUACCGCAUAAGACCACAGCACCGCAUGGUGCAGGGGUAAAAGAUUUAUCGGUGUGAGAUGGACCUGCGUCUGAUUAGGUAGUUGGUGGGGUAGAAGCCUACCAAGUCAACGAUCAGUAUUCGACUUGAGAGAGUGAGAAGACACAUUGGGAGUGAGACACGAACCAAACUGCUACGGGAGGCAGCAGGGGGGAAUAUUGGAAAAAGGAGGAAACCAUGAACAAACAAAGCCAGGAGAGUGAAGAAGUAUUGCGGUAGGUAAAGCCUAAUAAGCAGGGAAGAAAAUGACGGAACCAGAGUAAGAAGAACCGAACAACUAAGUG